rnacentral:lncRNA from 1 species
AUGCAGACUGAGGACAGGACCCCACCUCACACAGGGCAGCCAGGAUUUUGCAGGAGGAAGCUUUGCGGGCCCCGAGGGGGCUCUAAAGAACAUCCUCUGGUCCGUGCCUCUCUCACAAAGCCCAGGAAGCCUGAGGCCACCCGGGGCCUGACGGCUGCCCCCACCUCUGUCUUCAGGAAACAGGGAAUCAGAACAAACGCUCAGUGCGUGUCUCCCUUCAUACCUCCAAGUCAGAGCCUGAAGACCAUGCCACCCACCUGUGCCCACCUCAGGGGAAGGGCGCCAGGACUCUCCUCUGCAUCUGCAGCUAACGAGCAAAGUUGUCCUGAAAAAAUGGGCCGUCAGAUGAAUGCUAGAACUACGUGUGUGUCCAUGUGUGCUCACGUCUGUAUGACCACACAUGUGUGGUCAUUUGCGUGCACGUGUGGAUGUGCUCACCUGCGUACAUACGUGAGUGUGCAUUCGUGCAUUCACUGCUCCCACCUGAGACCAACCCCACCCCGGGAUGGAUGCCUUCUCUUUCUCCCAUCGUCCUGGACCCCAACAGAGGGACCAGCAGCUGGCCCUUAUUUAGGGGAAAGUAGAGUUUAGGGUGUCAUGCUGGUUUAGCUGCUGGGUGGAGGUUUCACCCCCUGCCCUGGAUCAUUCUGGAAUUGCCCUAGGACCACCUGGCAGUCCUCUCGGCUGUGCCCAGGUUUCCCCGCACAGGCCCCAACCUCCCAGUGCAGGGAUGCUGUGGGCUGUGGUUUCCUUUGAAUGCUGCAGGGCCUUGAAUCGUUUCCAUGGGUUCUUUAACUAGACGGGGAUGUUCAGAUUUUGAUGCAUCUCUCGGGGGCAGAAUUUCAGGGUGGGACUUGCCCCAUAUGCGUCUCACUGCCUCCGACGCUGGCCAGUUCCUGUUCUCAGACCCAGGAACCCAGCCCAUGGGGGACCUGCGGGCUUUUGGUCAUGAAGUCACGUGGUAGGCGUGCGCCUGGGGGGUCUUCCCGUGGCGUGGAGACCCCGCACCCCCGUCCACUGUGGCCCCUGACCGCUGGGACAGUCCCUGGGCCCUUUGUCCAGUUCUGACUCCAGCUACCUCCUGGGCUUCUGUGUUAGUUCAAUCCGUGUUUUGGUUUUUUUUUUUCUCAUGAGUGUGUGUCUUGUCUCAUUAAAAAACUUGUAUACUUCUAUACAUUAUUUUAAAAGAUUCUGAAAUUUACAUCUGUAGCCUCCUGCCCCCCAAACCUCUACUUCCAACUAUUUUCGAGCACAUCCACCAAUGGCCUCCUGCCCGGUCCUAGGUGACUCAGAAUGUGCAAAAAGCCACAGGUCCCCAUUUCAGUGAUGCUGCCCUCUCGGGGCCUCAGGCCUCAGAGCCUUGCUGUCACGCGGCCUCCUCAGUGUCUCCUCUCAAUCCCACAGUCUUCCUCAUGGCUGGACCCUGCUGCCCACUGCAGCCCAGCUGGCCUCUCGGUCUCCUGUCACUCCCGCCCCCUCCUGAGCUGUUCAUCCACCUCUCCCAGCACUGUCAAGUCCCUGCUGCCCCACAGGGGGGCUUGGCCCUAUCCAGGCAGAGGCCUCAUUCCCGGGUGCGCUGAGCUGGCCCCGCAGGCCCAGGGCAGGUGUCUCCCCAGUUCCGGAGCCUAUCCCUUUCCUGGGGCCCUGGAGAAGCCCCUGCCUGCAGCUUGAGGCAUCACAGGCUGUCCACUCAGCGUGAUCACGGGACCUCUUCACAAGCUGCAGGGUCUGAUCCCCAAAGAGAGCGAAAGCUCUUAGAAGACAGGCCCGGUGUCACAUUCUUUUCAGAUGGACGUUGUGCUGUUGCCCCGCCCCACUGUUCACAGGACUCCCCUUGGUCAGCCCUGCCCGCUGGAGGGGAGACCACACACAUGUCAGCCGAGGUUCCUCGUGGGCUCUGCGGGGGAGAUCACAGAAGCCCGUCCCACCUCGGCCACUUUUCCUAACGGCUGUGGAAGAGGUGGGUCCAGGCACAACCGCUGCGAAGAGCUGCUGCGGAGUUUCGGGGCCAGCCCCUCCCAGCCGGCCUGGUCCCCUCAGCAGGGACGUGGGGCCCCUGACGGUCACUCCCGCCACCUUGGACUACUCUGUUCGGCUCCGUGUCGUGUCUGAAUGAGCACACACCCGGACGGGGUGGAAGGCUGGAUGAGAUGCCCGCCCCUCGCCGGCAGCUCUGGGAGCUUCUGGGCCCGGCCACGACGGCAAGGGGACGAUGGUGACCCGAGGCCGGAGAGAACCAGCACCCUCCCAGCGGCCUGGCCCC